UAAGAGGCCGCGAUUCCGCGUGGAGUGGACCGAGUAUGCAAAUAUAGUGCACAACGUGCGCUCUGACACGUCAGACGUGUCCAUGUGUAGGCGAUACAAUAUUACAUAAGUGUAAGUGGAAGAAGAAGAAGAAGAAGAAGAAGAAGAAGAAGAACUAUUCGAGCAUGGAAGGAAGUGAACCGAUCUGAGGAAGAGAAAGAGAGAGAGAAAAAGAGAGGAAGAAAAGAGGAUGAGAAUAAUUCUGGUGAACGCCCUCACUGCCUUGACCUCUAUGACCUCUGCUUUGCGCUCGACAAACCCGGGACCAGAUUCCUUCGUGACUGCAAAGCAUCCCGAGUAAAAUGUUCAAACGGAGAGAGAUCUAAUUGCAUUAUCCGAGGAUGCAUGAUGCAAAGCCAACGAUUGGGUCACAUCCCACGAGAGAUCUUCUAAUCCUAGGAAACGAGCCGUCGUCCUUCCAUAUCUGACGUUAUCCUAUAUUACAAACGGAACAAGACGAGGAGGAUAAAAAAUCGCGUCGCGGAAGAGACGCGUCAUUUUGAAAUUAUGAUCCUGGUGUGACUCCCUUGUGGCAAAGAAAAAAAAA